CCUUGCGGAGGGAUCAUUACCGAGUUUACAACUCCCAAACCCCUGUGAACAUACCUAUACGUUGCCUCGGCGGAUCAGCCCGCGCCCCGUAAAACGGGACGGCCCGCCCGAGGACCCCUAAACUCUGUUUUUAGUGGAACUUCUGAGUAAAACAAACAAAUAAAUCAAAACUUUCAACAACGGAUCUCUUGGUUCUGGCAUCGAUGAAGAACGCAGCAAAAUGCGAUAAGUAAUGUGAAUUGCAGAAUUCAGUGAAUCAUCGAAUCUUUGAACGCACAUUGCGCCCGCCAGUAUUCUGGCGGGCAUGCCUGUUCGAGCGUCAUUUCAACCCUCAAGCUCAGCUUGGUGUUGGGACUCGCGGUAACCCGCGUUCCCCAAAUCGAUUGGCGGUCACGUCGAGCUUCCAUAGCGUAGUAAUCAUACACCUCGUUACUGGUAAUCGUCGCGGCCACGCCGUUAAACCCCAACUUCUGAAUGUGACCUCGAUCAUGCACGUAUGGG
rnacentral:rRNA from 1 species